GACGAACGCUGGCGGCGUGCUUAACACAUGCAAGUCGAACGGAAAGGCCCUGCUUGCAGGGUGCUCGAGUGGCGAACGGGUGAGUAACACGUGGGUGAUCUGCCCCUUACUUUGGGAUAAGCCUGGGAAACUGGGUCUAAUACUGGAUAGGACCAUGCUGUAGGUGGUGUGGUGGAAAGAUUAGUUUCGGUAAGGGGUGAGCUCGCGGCCUAUCAGCUUGUUGGUGGGGUAAUGGCCUACCAAGGCGUCGACGGGUAGCCGGCCUGAGAGGGUGGACGGCCACAUUGGGACUGAGAUACGGCCCAGACGCCUACGGGAGGCAGCAGUGGGGAAGAGUGAACAAUGGGCGCAAGCCUGAUGCAGCGACGCCGCGUGGGGGAUGACGGCCUUCGGGUUGUAAACUCCUUUCAGCCAUGACGAAGCCCUUGUGGUGACGGUAGUGGUAGAAGAAGCACCGGCUAACUACGUG
rnacentral:rRNA from 1 species